rnacentral:miRNA from 1 species
UAGCUGUUGAGUCCCGUUGAGAA